rnacentral:tRNA from 1 species
GGCUCGUUGGUCUGGGGUAUGAUUCUCGCUUCGGUGCGAGAGGUCCCGGGUUCAAAUCCCGGACGAGCCC